UUGGAGGGCAAGUCUGGUGCCAGCAGCCGCCGUAAUUCCAGCUCCAAUAGCGUAUAUUAAAGUUGUUGCAGUUAAAAAGCUCGUAGUUGAAUUUCGGAAUCAAUUUGUUGGUCGUGCCUCGGUACGUACUGGUAUUAUUGGUUUCUACCUUCUGAAGAACCUUGAUGUCAUUAAUUUGGUGUCUUGGGGAAUCAGGACUGUUACUUUGAAAAAAUUAGAGUGUUUAAAGCAGGCAUACGCUUGAAUACAUUAGCAUGGAAUAAUGAAAUAGGACGUUUGAUUCUAUUUUGUUGGUUUCUAGGAUCGACGUAAUGAUUAAUAGGGAUAGUUGGGGGCAUUAGUAUUCAAUUGUCAGAGGUGAAAUUCUUGGAUUUAUUGAAUACUAACUACUGCGACAGCAUUUGCCAAGGAUGUUUUCAUUAAUCAAGAACGAAAGUUAGGGGAUCGAAGACGAUCAGAUACCGUCGUAGUCUUAACCAUAAACUAUGCCGACUAGGGAUCGGAUGAUGUUAAUUUUUUAAUGACUCAUUCGGCGCCUUACGGGAAAC
rnacentral:rRNA from 1 species